GGAGGGUCUGGAUCCAUCUCAGAGCAGCCUGCGAAUGGCUUCAGGGCAGGCAGAGGCACUCUGUGGGUAUCGGUCCAGGAAAGCUGCUCAUCCAGGAGGAGUUUGUUUGUGGUGCUUGGUCACUUUCAGCACCCGGAAUAAAUCACAGUGGGAAGGUGGGUGGAUGGCAGGGCUAACACGCUACGCCCAAUUCCGCAGCAGAGUAUGCGUGGGUUGCCAAUCCCUGCCAAGCAAAGCAGUGGCUGUGCUUCAGGGGUGGAUGAAGAUUUUCCUGGUCAUCCAGCUCAUUAAUCACAGAGUCCCAGAGUGGUUGGGGUGGGAAGGGACCUCUGGGGCCUUCUGGUCCAGCCCCUGCUCAAGCAGGGCCACCUCUAGCAGGGUGCCCAGGCGCAUGUCCUGGUGACUUUUGAAGGUCUCCAAGGAGAAGACCCCACAACCUCUCCAUCUGGGGAAGCUGUGCCAGUG